rnacentral:lncRNA from 1 species
CCAAUUGAAGGAAAUGAGCAAGAUACCUCACGUGCACGAGCCAAACUCUCAGACUGGGCCUUUCAGUAGGACUGAACUUAUUUGUCGUUGCUGCAGUGCACCUCCUGUAGAAAUCUUGCUAGCAGACACCAUUACAUUUUGAAUUUCUUCUAGCAACCCCAGAGUUGCGACCUUCAGUGAACAAGAAAUCUCUUUUCAUAAUAACUUCCCUUAAACAAUCAUCAUAUACCUUCUUUGGCCACCAACUUUGGAAACUAACUUUCAUAAAAUUCUGUCAGUUCUCUUUCAUAGCACCUCCGAAUGCGUGAGCCUAGUUCUCACACUCGGCCUUUGAGUUCAGAACUAGGCUUAUUAUUGUUAUAGUAGCUCCUGUACAAUUCUCACUAGCAGACACCAUUACAUUUCAAAUUUCUUCCGGCAUCCAGGAGUUCCAUCCAUCAAUGAACUGAAAAUGUCUAACUCUUAAUAACUUCCCUCGUCAAAUUCAUCAAUCAUCAUACACCUUCUUUGACCAUCAACUUUAGCAAACUAGUAAUAUUUAAAAAUAUUUGUCAGUUUUUCAUUCAUAACACUUCCUCCCACGUAGNCUUAUUUGUCGUUGCUGCAGUGCACCUCCUGUAGAAAUCUUGCUAGCAGACACCAUUACAUUUUGAAUUUCUUCUAGCAACCCCAGAGUUGCGACCUUCAGUGAACAAGAAAUCUCUUUUCAU